UGGGGAAUAUUGCACAAUGGGCGAAAGCCUGAUGCAGCGACGCCGCGUGAGGGAUGGAGGCCUUCGGGUUGUAAACCUCUUUCGCUCAUGGUCAAGCCGCAACUUAGGGUUGUGGUGAGGGUAGUGGGUAAAGAAGCGCCGGCUAACUACGUGCCAGCAGCCGCGGUAAUACGUAGGGCGCGAGCGUUGUCCGGAAUUAUUGGGCGUAAAGGGCUUGUAGGCGGUUGGUCGCGUCUGCCGUGAAAUCCUCUGGCUUAACUGGGGGCGUGCGGUGGGUACGGGCUGACUUGAGUGCGGUAGGGGAGACUGGAACUCCUGGUGUAGCGGUGGAAUGCGCAGAUAUCAGGAAGAACACCGGUGGCGAAGGCGGGUCUCUGGGCCGUUACUAACGCUGAGGAGCGAAAGCGUGGGGAGCGAACAGGAUUAGAUACCCUGGUAGUCCACGCUGUAAACGUUGGGCACUAGGUGUGGGGGCCACCCGUGGUUUCUGCGCCGUAGCUAACGCUUUAAGUGCCCCGCCUGGGGAGUACGGCCGCAAGGCUA
rnacentral:rRNA from 1 species